CCUACGGGAGUCAGCAGUGAGGAAUAUUGGUCAAUGGGCGGAAGCCUGAACCAGCCAAGUCGCGUGAGGGAUUAAGGCCCUGCGGGUCGUAAACCUCUUUUGCCGGGGAGCAGAGGUCCGGACGUGUCCGGGCCGGGAGAGUACCCGGAGAAAAAGCAUCGGCUAACUCCGUGCCAGCAGCCGCGGUAAUACGGAGGAUGCGAGCGUUAUCCGGAUUUAUUGGGUUUAAAGGGUGCGUAGGCGGGCAUUUAAGCCGGCGGUCAAAUGUCGGGGCUCAACCCCGGCCUGCCGUCGGGACUGGGUGCCUUGAGUGGGCGAGAAGUAUGCGGAACGCGUGGUGUAGCGGUGAAAUGCAUAGAUAUCACGCAGAACCCCGAUUGCGAAGGCCGCAUACCGGCGCCCUACUGACGCUGAGGCACGAAAGUGCGGGUAUCGAACAGGAUUAGAUACCCUAGUAGUC
rnacentral:rRNA from 1 species